GCCGGCUUAGCUCAGCUGGUAGAGCAGCGGUUUUGUAAACCGAAGGUCGGGGGUUCGAUCCCCUCAGCCGGCACCA
rnacentral:tRNA from 1 species